CCUCUUGCAACUCUAUCACUUGACCUAUAACAAGUUAUUCAGAGGUUAAUAAAUGACAAACCAAAUAAAAAUGUAUUGGUUUCACAGAAAAAAAGCAUUGACUUAGCAUUUCUUUCAGCCAGCUAGAAGUAAUAUUAUUGAGACCCAGUCAACUUUGUUUUCAUACACCAGAGUUGGCUAUGGUCUAAUCUUUCACAGACUGAGGUUAAUGUUCAGUUUUUUGUUUGGUCGGUUGGUUGGUUUUGAGAUAAGGUCUUGCUCUGUCACCCAGGCUGCAGUGCAGCGGCACAACCACUGCUCACUACAGCCUCGACCUCCCAGGCUCAAGCAAUCUUCCCAUCUCACCCUCCCAACUAGCUGGAACUACAGAUGUGUGCCACCAGGCCCAGGACAUGCUUCCACAAUGAUGCACCUGUCUGGCUGUUGGAUGGAGACCCUGGAGAAGGCUGCUGACAGACGCCACUACAGGAAUCUCUCCAUAGGGCUGCUGGAGCACCCUCACGUGUCAAGUGGCUUCCCCAGAGUAAAUGUCCCAAGGAAAAACAAGGAAGGGAUCAUAGCCCUCUUAUGAUCUAGCCUCCAAAAUCACACACCAUUAUUAAUACUUCUGCCAUAGUCUAUUUGCUAGAAGUGAGACACUAAGUCCCUCUAACAUUCAAGAAGAGGUAAAUUAAGAGACAUUUCUAGAAGGAAGAAGUAUCAAACAAAUCCCAGACAUACUUUAAAACCAUUUCUAUUAUAGCAUUAUGUGAAAAAACACAUUAUAUGAAAAACAUAUAUUGAAAAAAUUUUUAAUUGUACUUUAGGUUCUGGCGUAUAUGUGCAAAUCAUGCAGGAUUGUUGCAUAGGUACAUACACGGCAAGGUGGUUUGCUGCCUCCAUCCCCGAUCACCUAUAUCUGGCCUUUUUCCCCAUAUUAUCCCUACCCAACCUCCCCACCCCCCGCUGUCCCUCCCUUAGCGCCUGCCUCAACAGACCCCAGUGUGUGAUGCUUCCCUCCCUGUGCAUAAUGUUCUCAUUGUUCAACACCUACCUAUGAGUGAGAACAUGCAGUAUUUGAUUUUCUGUUCUGUGUCAGUUUGCUGAGAAUGAUGGUUUAAUAUUAAAAUGUUAAAAUCAGUUUCCUUUGUGUGUUAGAAUUGAGAGUUAUUAUUGUCCUCUCUACUUUUCAAUACUUCUAUGCAAGAAAGCAUUC
rnacentral:lncRNA from 1 species